AUGACAGCAACAAGAAGGUGUUCAAGUCUAAUGAACUUAUUUGAACGCUGAUACAAUCCUGUCAGAUUAAAGAAUAUGCCAAGAUCAGUUCAGUUUAAUGAAGUCUAUAAACUGGUUUACACGUGGCAGGACAUGA